rnacentral:lncRNA from 10 species
GUGUGACCUCACUGCAACCUCUGCCUCCUGGGCUCAAGCAAUUCUCCCACCUCAGCCUCCCAAGUAGCUGGGACUACUGCAUGCCACCGUGCCUGGAUAAAUUUUUUUGUAUUUUUUGUAGAGAUAGCAUUUUGCCAUAUUGCCCAGCCUGGUCUCGAACUCUUGGACUGAAGUGAUCUGCCCAACUUGGGCUCCUAAAAUAAUGGGAUUAUACGCAUGAGCCACCAAGCCUGGCUGGAUGACUUUCACCAAGGUUUUCUGUGAAGUUUUCUCCUUGGAUCACACGGAAAUACUUCUUGAACAUGCUUUUAAAGGUUUCAGACAAGCAACUGUUGGAUUAGAGCAUACAGGGACAUAUAUUGUCCUACUGCCCCCUGUGGUUAGUAUGAUUUGUCUGACUAGCUAGUUAUUAAUAGUUGUCCCCUUCUCCUACCACUUCAAGCCCACUUCAACCAGCUCCUUCCAAAUGCUCAAGAGAAGACUUCAGAAGAAAUUCAAAGUUUUCAAAAUGAUGUUGGAUUGAAAGUUCUGAUGAUGUUCUAUAAACCAAGAGUUUGCAAACUGUGGCCAAAUCCUGCUCACCCUCUGAUUGUGUAUAGCCCCAAGCUAAGAAUGGUUUUUACAUUUUAAAGUAGCUGGAAAAUAUCAAAAGAAGAGUAAUAAUAUUUUGUGACACAUGAAAAUUCAUGAAAUUCAAACUUCAGUGUCCGUAAAUAAAGCUUACUGAAACAGAGC